rnacentral:lncRNA from 1 species
CCCAAAUCUGACCCCAAGAACCCGAAAUCUGCCCCAAUUGGAUCCCAAAAAACCCCAUUCUUUGGCCCCCAAACCCCCAAUCUGACCCAAAAAUCCCAAAUUUGCCCAAAUUGGACCCAAAAAGCCCCUUAAUCCCNGGUAGAUUUGGGGGUUUUGGGGGUCAAAAUGGGGUUUUUUGGGUCAGAUUUGGGGUUUUUGGGGUGAAAAUUGAUGUUUUUGGCAGCGGGUUUGGGGCGGAUUUAGGGGUUUUUGGGUCCAAUUUGGGGCAGAUUUGGGGCUUUUUUGGGGUAAUUUGGGGCUUUUUUGGGGCUUUUUGGGUCAGAUUUGGGGGUUUUUGGGGUGAAAAUUGAUGUUUUUGGCAGGAAAUUUGGGGCGGAUUUGGGGGUUUUAGGGGCAAAUUUGGGGCAGAUUUGGGGUUUUUGGGGUCAGAUUUGGGGGUUUUGGGGUGAAAAUUGAUGUUUUUGGCAGCGGGUUUGGGGCGGAUUUAGGGGUUUUAGGGCAAAUUUGGGGCUUUUUAGGGGCCAAUUUGGGGCUUUUUUGGGGCUUUUUGGGUCAGAUUUGGGGUUUUUGGCGUGAAAAUUGAUGUAUUUGACGGCGGAUUUGGGGCAGAUUUAGGGGUUUUGGGGCCAAUUUGGGGCAGAUUUGGGGGUUUUAGGGACAGAUUUGGGGUUAUUGGGGUCUUUUGGGGUCCAAAUUGGGUCAGAUUUGGGAUUUUUG